rnacentral:rRNA from 1 species
GGUGAACGCUGGCGGCGUGCUUAAGACAUGCAAGUCGAACGGGCUCUUCGGAGCCAGUGGCGCACGGGUGAGUAACGCGUAACUGACCUACCCCAAAGUCGCGGAUAACGAUUCGAAAGAAUCGCUAAUACGUGAUGUGCUGUCAGAUCCUGUUCUGCCAGUAAAGAUUUAUUGCUUUGGGAUGGGGUUGCGUUCCAUCAGCUAGUUGGUGGGGUAAAGGCCCACUAAGGCGACGACGGAUCGCCGGCCUGAGAGGGUGGCCGGCCACAGGGGCACUGAGACACGGGUCCCACUCCUACGGGAGGCAGCAGUUAGGAAUCUUCCACAAUGGGCGAAAGCCUGAUGGAGCGACGCCGCGUGAGGGAUGAAGGUCUUCGGAUCGUAAACCUCUGAAUCAGGGACGAAAGACGCGAAAGCGGGAUGACGGUACCUGAGUAAUAGCACCGGCUAACUCCGU